rnacentral:lncRNA from 1 species
UAUUGCAUGUACUUUGGUUCUGGGUGAGGCACAACAAUCUCAAGAUGCUGACGACGAUGAAGAGCGACCAAGUGAAUCAGAACCUCAUGACGAGGACGAAGAAUUGAUUGCGGGUGCUUCAAACAAUCCAGAUGAAAAUGUAGAACAACCUAAUGCAGAUGAGCAAGAUGCAGAGGAGCGCGAUGACAAGCCUCUGACUCCCCAAAAUGCAGAGGAAAGUCCAAUUGGUGAAGAAUCAAAUGACACCAAACAGAAAUUGCGCUUGCCAAAUAAGAAAAAACCUCCGAGUAGAGUUGCAAAGAAGGGAAACGAAAAGCGUUCUGGAGUCCAUCAAGGUGUGAAUGUUGCACGUACAUUGGUUCUGGGUGAGGCACAACAAUCUCAAGAUGCUGACGACGAUGAAGAGCGAGCAAGUGAAUCAGAACCUCAUGACGAGGACGAAGAAUUGAUUGCAGGUGCUUCAAACAAUCCAGAUGAAAAUGUAGAACAACCUGAUGCAGAUGAGCAAGAUGCAGAGGAGCGCGAGGACAAGCCUCUGACUCCCCAAAAUGCAGAGGAAAUUCCAAUUGGUGAAGAAUCAAAUGACACCAAACAGAAAUUGCGCUUGCCAAAUAAGAAAAAACCCCCGAGUAGAGUUGCAAAGAAGGGAAACGAAAAGCGUUCUGGAGUCCGUCAAGGUGUGAAUGUUGCACGUACAUUGGUUCUGGGUGAGGCACAACAAUCUCAAGAUGCUGAAGACGAUGAAGAGCGAGCAAGUGAAUCAGAACCUCAUGACAAGGACGAAGAAUUGAUAGCUGGUGCUUCAAACAAUCCAGAUGAAAAUGUAGAACAACCUGAUGCAGAUGAGCAAGAUGCAGAGGAGCGCGAUGACAAGCCUCUGACUCCCCAAAAUGUAGAGGAAAGUCCAAUUGGUGAAGAAUCAAAUGAUACCAAACAGAAAUUGCGCUUGCCAAAUAAGAAAAAACCUCCGAGUAGACUUGCAAAGAAGGAAGAUAAAGAGCGCUCUAGAGUCCGUCAAGGUGUAAAUGUUGCACGUACUUCGGUUCUGGAUGAGGCACAACAAUCUCAAGAUGGUGACGACGAUGAAGAGCGAGCAAGUGAAUCAGAACCUCAUGACGAGGACAAAGAAUUGAUUGCGGGUGCUUCAAACAAUACAGAUGAAAAUGUAGAACAACCUACUGCGGAUGAGCAAGAUGUAAAGCAUGAUGACAAGC